rnacentral:rRNA from 1 species
UACAGAGGUGGCUAGCGUUGUUCGGAUUUACUGGGCGUAAAGGGUGCGUAGGUGGUUCCGUAUGUCGGAUGUGAAAUCCCACUGCUCAACGGUGGAACUGCAUUCGAAACUGCGGAGCUUGAGUGCAGGAGAGGAGAGCGGAAUUCUUGGUGUAGCGGUGAAAUGCGUUGAUAUCAAGAAGAACACCGGUGGCGAAGGCGGCUCUCUGGAAUGUAACUGACACUGAGGCACGAAAGCUGGGGGAGCAAACAGG